rnacentral:rRNA from 1 species
UACGUAGGGACCGAGCGUUGUCCGGAUUUAUUGGGCGUAAAGAGCUCGUAGGCGGCUUGUCGCGUCGACUGUGAAAACCCGUGGCUCAACCAUGUGGUCUGCAGUCGAUACGGGCAGGCUAGAAUUCGGUAGGGGAGACUGGAAUUCCUGGUGUAGCGGUGAAAUGCGCAGAUAUCAGGAGGAACACCGGUGGCGAAGGCGGGUCUCUGGGCCGAUAUUGACGCUGAGGAGCGAAAGCGUGGGGAGCGAACAGG